rnacentral:rRNA from 1 species
UACAGAGGUCCCGAGCGUUGUUCGGAUUCACUGGGCGUAAAGGGUGCGUAGGUGGCUGGAAAAGUUUGAUGUGAAAGCUCAGGGCUUAACCCUGAAAUGGCAUUGAAUACUGUCGAGCUGGAGGUUUGGAGGGGGGACUGGAAUUCUUGGUGUAGCAGUGAAAUGCGUAGAUAUCAAGAGGAACACCAGUGGCGAAGGCGAGUCCCUGGACAACACCUGACACUGAGGAGCGAAAGCGUGGGGAGCGAACAGG